rnacentral:rRNA from 1 species
UACGGGGGGGGGCAAGCGUUUGUUCGGAAUUACUGGGCGUAAAGGGCCAGUAGGCGGCCAACUAAGUCGGAUGUGAAAUCCCCAGGCUUAACCUGGGAACUGCAUCCGAUACUGGAUGGCUUGAAUUCGGGAGAGGGAUGCAGAAUUCCAGGUGUAGCGGUGAAAUGCGUAGAUAUCUGGAGGAAUACCGGUGGCGAAGGCGGCAUCCUGGACCGACAUUGACGCUGAACGGCGAAAGCUAGGGGAGCGAAACGGG